rnacentral:rRNA from 1 species
UAAGGAAUAUUGGUCAAUGGACGCAAGUCUGAACCAGCCAUGCCGCGUGAAGGAUGAAGGUCCUCUGGAUUGUAAACUUCUUUUAUCUGGGACGAAAACGGGAUUUUUAUCUCAAUUGACGGUACCAGAGGAAUAAGCAUCGGCUAACUUCGUGCCAGCAGCCGCGGUAAUACGAAGGAUGCAAGCGUUAUCCGGAAUUAUUGGGUUUAAAGGGUGCGUAGGCGGACUAAUAAGUCAGUGGUGAAAGCCUGCAGCUUAACUGCAGAAUUGCCAUUNAUACUGUUAGUCUUGAGUACAGUUGAGGUAGGCGGAAUGUGUCAUGUAGCGGUGAAAUGCUUAGAUAUGACACAGAACACCGAUUGCGAAGGCAGCUUGCUAAGCUGUAACUGACGCUGAGGCACGAAAGCGUGGGAGCAAACA